GGGGAUGUAACUCAGUGGUAGAAUGCUUGCCUUGCAAGCAUGAGGCCUUGAGUUCAAUCCCUAGUACCACCG
rnacentral:tRNA from 1 species